rnacentral:tRNA from 1 species
AGUAUCGCGCCGGAAAGAACGGAUUACUCUGAUGAGGUAAAUUAUGGGCCAUUGCCCCGAUACUU